AAGUACAACUUCGGUAUACUUUGUGAAUUGGCUUUUGCAAAAGACCAACUCAUGAAGUAUACUGAAGUCGUACUU
ensembl:miRNA